rnacentral:rRNA from 1 species
UACGUAGGGUGCGAGCGUUAAUCGGAAUUACUGGGCGUAAAGCGUGCGCAGGCGGUUUGCUAAGAGAGAUGUGAAAGCCCCGGGCUUAACCUGGGAACUGCGUUUCUAACUGGCAAGCUUGAGUGUGGCAGAGGCAAGUGGAAUUGGCAGUGUAGCAGUGAAAUGCGUAGAGAUUGCCAGGAACACCAAUGGCGAAGGCAGCUUGCUGGGCCUCAUCUGACGCUGAGGUACGAAAGCGUGGGGAGCGAACAGG